CCCAUGGAGGACCCUCAGAGUAAUCUGGGGGUCUAUGUCGUUUCUUCGUGUUUCUAGGGGAAGUGGAGUGGCCCCUCGGGUCACCCUGAGGUCCUGUCGCUCCUUCUCUGCGCCGUCCUCGGUUCCUUUUUGUGGCUUUGGGAUCCGAUGGAGUGGGUAUGUUUUGUUCUUUGUUGAUGAGUGAUGCUUUUAACAGGGCGCAGCGGUUAGUUGCGCCCCGCCGGAGGUGGUUGGCCAACCCACGUUUGCUGUGGAAGUCCACGUUGCAGCUGGGGCAACGGAAUUGGUGAGUUUCCUGCCCUCCUGCUUCCGUUGUGCUACUGUUAGAGGGCAGGUCUGUUGCGAUAGCAGCUGUGGAUUGUGUGCCAAACACAAACAGUCCGCUGGAUGCUGUGUCUUCUGAGUGGUUGGGAGCUGAGGAAGGUGGUGAUGGUCUAGUUUCAUUGCUGCUGCAGGCGGCUGCCCUGCGCAGUGCUAUAGUUUGGAGUACCAGUUCCCUUAGCUGCUCGCGGCUGGGCCACCUUCGGGCCCCCUGCAGCUGGUUUGGGGGUAGUGGUGCUGCUCCCACACUCGGGGCCAAGCGUUGAUGACCUGGAAGGCUGCUGUUUUGGUCAUCUGCACCCGAAGACCCCUCCUCUGCUGAUGCCUGUUGGGUCGUGAUCGACGACCGCUCAGGUGUGGGGCCCUCAUGAACGAGGGCGCCGAUCUCCUCCCUCUCGUCUGCCCGCUCGUCCGGGCCUUCUUCAUUGUCACUAGAGGUGUCGGAGGUUGCACUGUGGAAGUCAGACACAUCCUCCAUUUCGAGAUCUAUAACCGUCGGCUCAGGGGCGACGGGCCGCUGCUGCUCCGCUGCGCGUCGGACUGCACCUAGUUCUAGAUGCAGUAAAACAGAGCAAAGUGAAGAGUAGCACACAGUAAAUUCCAUAAAGUUAAAAAAUUUUGCUCUUUCUUUCUUUUCCUUCUCCAAAAGGACGAUUUCACUACUCCCACACCCCCCGCUAGUUCGCGGUGAACCCAGGUGGUGAUUUUGCGUGUCGAAAAACGACAGAAAAUCGCCUCCUGGGGGUUUUAAAUGACGAGAUUAUGACACUAAAUCAUAAAAAAUAAUUUUUAAAAUUUAAGGUAGCCAAACGCCUCGUCAUCUAAUUAGUGACGUGCAUGAAUGGAUUAACGAGAUUCCCACCCCUAAGGUAGCCAAACGCCUUGUCAUUUAAUUAGUGACGUGCAUGAAUGGAUUAACGAGAUUCCCACUGUCCCUAUCUACUAUCUAGCGAACCCACAGCCAAGGGAACGGGCUUGGCGGAGUCAGCGGGGAAAGAAGACCCUGUUGAGCUUGACUCUAGUCCGACUCUGUGGAACGACUUGAGGGGUGUAGCAUAGGUGGGAGCUUCGGCGAUCGUGAAAUACCACUACCCUCAGUGUCGUUUUACUUAUUCCGUCAAGUUGAGACGCAUGCUCGGCAUGUGUUUUGGUCUUAAGGUGCCUUUUGGUGCUGAUCAAUGCGGAAGACACAGUC
rnacentral:ncRNA from 1 species